rnacentral:rRNA from 1 species
UACGUAGGGGGCGAGCGUUGUCCGGAGUUACUGGGCGUAAAGCGCUUGUAGGCGGUCCACCAAGUUUGGGGUGACAGUUGCCGACUUAAUCGGCAAAGUGCCUCAAAGACUGGCGGACUUGAGGGCCACAGAGGGACAUGGAACUCCAGGUGUAGUGGUGAAAUGCGUAGAUAUCUGGAAGAACACCAAAGGCGAAGGCAGUGUCCUGGGUGGUCGCUGACGCUGAGAGGCGAAAGCCAGGGGAGCGAAUGGG